UUCACUUCUAAUGCCAUGUCUUCUCUUAAAAGAAUUUAAUUAAUAUUCUCCCUUUCAUUAUUAAGCUGGUGUACUCCUGGUGUGCUAGUAAUAGUAACCCUGUCUAUUUCAGAGAACAGACUAAGUUGGGUCCUCUAGGUAAGGGUACACCUUUAAUUUCGGAGAACUGAAUGAAUACAUUUUCAGUAAAGAAAAAGCUGUCCCUAGAAAGAAUUGAGACAAUAAAUGAAUUUAAAAAUGUGUGUCUGACAUAAAAACAGUUGUCCUAAUGAAUCAACACAUGCAAAAUCCUUAUGCCCCAAAAUUAUAGCUAGUUUCUAUAACGCUGGUCCUGCUGGGGCUACAGAGGAUUAAGGACAAGUCAGUAAAAAGCUGUCUAUCUGUCUAGAAAGAACUGACUUACUGUUACACUUUGAAGGAGUCUAGAAAACAAAAUCAAGAUGAUGCAAACUCAAAAGUACCCUGGAUCGUCCCAGGGUAAAUUAAAGAAUGUGUUAUCUCAGAUAACUGGGGAAAAAACAAGUGUGCUAGCAUUUUUUGGCUGAUAAAACAGAAGGCAAAAAAAAUGCUAAACUUUCUGAGAAGCAAUACUAAAAUCUCUCUGCAGAUUUUUAGGUCCUUGUUGUUAUAGAAAGUAGCUCUCCAUAGCACAGCCGGUUUCUUUUCCCUGAACAGACUCACCAGGAUCGGGAUACAAAGAUCAUUAAGGACAACACUAUUAUUUACUAUUUCACAAUAGAUGCUAAACAGCCACUGAAAACCACAAAAGAAGACUAUAUGAUUCAUUUCCAAGGAAAGGAGUUCUCAGGGAAUGUUUUUUUCUGAGCUACAUGUAUGGAUUUGGACUGUCCAAAUCUGGGGAAAACAAGGCUACUGCUCAGAUGCUGAUAAAUUAUGGUGAUCUCUUCUUCUUGUGUUGCUCCUGGAGUUCAAAGAAUUGAUGCCUCAAAUAUUUGUACCACUACAGAAUAAAUUUAAAACACGUGCUAAAAUUCAUACUCCAUUGGAAAAAAAUCAGUGAUCAGCCCGUUUUUUGAAAUACAAAAUUUGUCUGAGGAGCCUGAAUGCAGUGAACUUGAAUAAUCAUCGCCAAGGGAGUGCAGAUAAUAAAAACAGAGACUUCCUUCCAAGGAAAGCCUUCCAGGCAAAAGGAAAGGGAAAGGGAGCAUGUUUAGGCACUUCUACAAAGGGCAUAGUGGACCAGGACACUGUGCUAUAUAUUAAAAAUUAUUUUGCAAGUUAAAAAAGACAUUUAUAUUACAAAUGAAUAUAUUACAACAAAUAUUUUCAAAUAUUCUAAUAUGACACCUGGAUAAACAGAUAAAUAUCCUCUAAAGAUGUGGUAGAAGCUCCAACACUGAUUCACCUAAGCCUGAAGCAAAAGGGUUCUGGAGAGGGUAUUUCUGAUGUUGAUCCCAGCUGUUUAGACACAGAUUUGAUGGUGUUCCCUAAGAGACCUGUUUUCUAGGAGAUCUGAGAUAAAUGUAUUCCAUGUUUCUUCUUUUGCUGGUACCACAUGAGGGGAGGGCUAGUCCACAGACUUGGCUCAGCUCAGAGGUCGGGCAGUAGAGGAGAGGUUUUUCUGCAGCUGCAAAAUGGUGUGAAUAAUGAGAAAUUAUUCUUUGGCAGUGGGACAAAACUUACGGUCAUAGGGAAGAAUGAUGAAAUCAUACCUCCAGCUGUGGCCAUCUUUUCCCCAUCAAAGCAGGAGAUCCAGCAGAAGAGCAAGGCCACACUGGUGUGCCUGGCCUCUGGUUUCUACCCUGACCACCUGACUCUGGUCUGGAAGGUGAAUGGUGUGAAAAGGACAGAAGGGGUGGGGACAGACGAGUCCUCCACAAAGAAUGGGAGCACCUACUCACUGACCAGCCGACUGAGGAUGCCAGCCUGGGAAUGGUUCAACCCUUUGAAUCGCUUCGAGUGUGUUGCCAGUUUUUUUCAGAAUGGAACAACGCAAUCAAUAAACAAAUUUAUCCAUGGUGAUGCUGGUUGUGCGCUCACAGAAGAGUCGUACUUGCGAUAUGGAAAUUCUCUGAAGCUCACUUACCUCAUCCUGUGUGGCAAAGCCUUGGUCUACGCUGUUUUGGUCAGUGGUCUGGUGUGGACAGCCAAGACUGGUGUCAAAUUAUCUAGAGAAUAAAUGAAGAGCCCUUGUCAUCACAUCAGCAGGAGCACAACAAGUUGUCUACCUUUCCCUAGCAAAGUAUCUGUGCUUUUACGAACUUGUGAAGAUUAUUUUUUUAUAAUUCUCUGUUGCCAUGCUGUUCUUCACUUUGUUGUAAUCAUUGCUGAGUUUCUCCUGUACUUCCAUAUCAAAAUGAAUCGUAUUUUAUUGUAAUGUGUCUUUAAGACUAGCACUUUCUUAAUGCUAUGAGGCUGAGAGCUCAUCUCUUUGAUUCAGGAAUAAAGUUUUUACUUCUUUUCUCCUGAAAAAGCAUGAUUUGUUGUUUUUAAAUUUGGUCUUCUGUCGUAAUAAUGUCCUACCACACAACUUUCAGUGAUAAAUAGUGCCAUAAGCAACUCUCAUUGAAGAUCAUUCACUAACAAUGCCUGUAGGAGUAACUUCUCUCUUAUGGGAACAGUAGGAACUCAUCCAGUGCUUACACCAUGUACCAACAAGUGGAGCAAGGCUGCAGGCUUUGGAGGCUUGCCCUCACCCGGAGCUGAUUUUGAGCCAAAAUACAUGCAUAAUUCAAAGGUGCUAGAGAAGGAAACAGCACUCUAGCCAGAUGAGAAGUGACAGUAUCUGGGGACAGGCCUGGGAGCUGCUUUUUCUUUCAUAUUCUUCCAUGGGGUUUUUCUUGGUGAUGACACCAGACUCACACUGGUAGCGAUGAAAAAUUUGGUGAAUAGAUUAAAAGUCCCCUGACGCUUAAUGUGUUUGUUUCAGAAGGAUCUGAUGACAACCUUGAGAGAAAUCUGUCAUAUCUCUUUUAAUGUCAUUAAAGGAAAAAGCUGUAUUUUAGUGUAGAGGACAGAUGGGCAUAAUACUGUAAAAUGGAGUAAUUUUUCCUGGUCUAUGCUUGUCACUCCUUUAAUCUCCUCAAAACACUUCAGAACAGGAGAAAAUAUCCUACUGUACUAAGAAAUUUAUUUUGCAUUCUGGGUACAGAAAUUGCUUAAGUAGUCUUGUGGCUGCUUCAAACAAAGUGGAGAACUGUUUACUGAAAAAUACUUUUUACAAUAGUACUUCAAGGGGUCUUACAUUCCUAAGAUGUGAACAAUCUGGUCUAGGGAAAGUUGACCCCUUCCUCUUUGGAGGGAAAACAAAAAAACCAGUUCCCAGCAGGUGGCAAUCAUUAGAAGGUUGUACAAAGAGGUGCAUUUCAGAGGGUUUGACAAAGAUAAACAAAGAGAG